rnacentral:rRNA from 1 species
UACGUAGGGUCCGAGCGUUGUCCGGAAUUACUGGGCGUAAAGAGCUCGUAGGUGGUUUGUCGCGUUGUUCGUGAAAACUCACAGCUCAACUGUGGGCGUGCGGGCGAUACGGGCAGACUUGAGUACUGCAGGGGAGACUGGAAUUCCUGGUGUAGCGGUGGAAUGCGCAGAUAUCAGGAGGAACACCGGUGGCGAAGGCGGGUCUCUGGGCAUUAACUGACGCUGAGGAGCGAAAGCAUGGGGAGCGAACAGG